GACGAACGCUGGCGGCGUGCUUAACACAUGCAAGUCGAACGAACUAUAGCAAUAUAGUGAGUGGCGAACGGGUGAGUAACACGUGACUAAUCUGCCCCGGACUGGGGAAUAACAUCGGGAAACUGAUGCUAAUACCGCAUAUUGAGAUUGAAUCGCAUGGUUUGAUCUUGAAAGCUCCGGCGGUCCGGGAUGAGGUCGCGUCCUAUCAGCUUGUUGGCGAGGUAAUGGCUCACCAAGGCGACGAUGGGUAGCUGGUCUGAGAGGAUGAUCAGCCACACUGGGACUGAGAUACGGCCCAGACUCCUACGGGUGGCAG
rnacentral:rRNA from 1 species